rnacentral:antisense_RNA from 1 species
GUGGGAGGGGGCUUGCUCCCGAUGGCGGUGGGUCAGUCAACAUUCAUGUCACUGACCCACUGCUAUCGGGAGCAAGCCCCCUCCCAC